rnacentral:rRNA from 1 species
UACGAAGGGGGCUAGCGUUGCUCGGAAUCACUGGGCGUAAAGCGCACGUAGGCGGCUUACUAAGUCAGGGGUGAAAUCCUGGAGCUCAACUCCAGAACUGCCUUUGAUACUGGUGAGCUUGAGUCCGGAAGAGAUGAGUGGAACUGCGAGUGUAGAGGUGAAAUUCGUAGAUAUUCGCAAGAACACCAGUGGCGAAGGCGGCUCACUGGUCCGGUACUGACGCUGAGGUGCGAAAGCGUGGGGAGCAAACAGG